rnacentral:tRNA from 1 species
UGGGACGUGGCCGAGCGGUAAGGCGGCGGGUUUUGGUCCCGCUACUCGAGGGUUCGAAUCCUUCCGUCCCA